AUGGCUCUGAAUGACUGUUUGCUUCUGAACUUGGAAGUGGACCGUUUCGUGCACUGCAACAUUUCUAAUCAUAGUGUGGAGCUCCCCAUGAAUGACGACUGGUUCCACCCAGGGAUCCUCUAUGUCAUCCCUGCAGUUUAUGGAGUCAUCAUUCUGAUAGGCCUCGUUGGCAACAUCACCCUGAUCAAGAUCUUCUGUACUGUGAAGUCCAUGCGAAACGUGCCGAACCUGUUUAUCUCCAGCCUGGCUUUGGGAGACCUGCUCCUCCUGGUAACCUGUGCGCCCGUGGAUGCCAGCAGGUACCUGGCUGACAAAUGGCUGUUUGGCAGGAUUGGCUGCAAACUGAUCCCCUUUAUCCAGCUUACCUCGGUAGGGGUGUCUGUCUUCACACUCACGGCUCUCUCGGCAGACAGGUAAGUCCUGGAGGACAGUGACAUUCUCUCCGAGGGCGGUAGA